AGUCACUGACAUUAGAUACCCCCGUAGUCCCAGCCCUAAACGAUGCGCGUUAGGUGUAUCGGUGACCACGAGUCACCGAGGUGCCGAAGGGAAACCGUGAAACGUGCCGCCUGGGAAGUACGGUCGCAAGGCUGAAACUUAAAGGAAUUGGCGGGGGAGCACCACAACGGGUGGAGCUUGCGGUUUAAUUGGAUUCAACGCCGGAAAUCUUACCGGGACCGACAGCAACAUGAAGGCCAGGCUGAAGACUUUGCCGGAUUAGCUG
rnacentral:rRNA from 1 species